rnacentral:lncRNA from 1 species
AUUAUGAAGUUGUGCUCUAUGCAAAACCAUUUGCUUAUGCUCCAAAAACUCCAUAUGAAGAAUGCAUGAAGCCUAAGCCAACUCCAGCUCCUUACUACUACCAUUCUCCUCCACCACCAUCGCCGACAUACGUAUACAAGUCACCACCUCCUCCAUCACCCAAAUACGUGUACAAAUCACCACCUCCUCCAUCACCUAAAUACGUGUACAAGUCGCCACCCCCUCCAUCACCUGAAUAUGUGUACAAGUCCCCACCCCCUCCAACCCCAACUUACGUGUACAAGUCACCACCACCUCCAUCACCUGAAUACGUAUACAAGUCCCCACCACCUCCAUCACCGAAGUACGUGUAUAAAUCCCCCCCACCGCCACCAUACUACUACAAGUCCCCCCCACCUCCAUCACCUGAGUACGUAUACAAGUCUCCCCCACCUCCAUCCCCAAAGUACGUGUACAAGUCCCCGCCCCCUCCAUCACCUGAAUACGGGGACAAGUCCCCACCACCUCCCUCACCCGAAUACGUGUACAAGCCCCCACCCCCUCCAUCACCUGAAUACGGGGACAAGUCCCCACCACCUCCCUCACCCGAAUACGUGUACAAGCCCCCACCCCCUCCAUCACCUGAAUACGGGGACAAGUCCCCACCACCUCCCUCACCCGAAUACGUGUACAAGCCCCCACCCCCUCCAUCACCUGAAUACGGGGACAAGUCCCCACCACCUCCCUCACCCGAAUACGUGUACAAGCCCCCACCCCCUCCAUCACCUGAAUACGGGGACAAGUCCCCACCACCUCCCUCACCCGAAUACGUGUACAAGCCCCCACCCCCUCCAUCACCUGAAUACGGGGACAAGUCCCCACCACCUCCCUCACCCGAAUACGUGUACAAGCCCCCACCCCCUCCAUCACCUGAAUACGGGGACAAGUCCCCACCACCUCCCUCACCCGAAUACGUGUACAAGCCCCCACCCCCUCCAUCACCUGAAUACGGGGACAAGUCCCCACCACCUCCCUCACCCGAAUACGUGUACAAGCCCCCACCCCCUCCAUCACCUGAAUACGGGGACAAGUCCCCACCACCUCCCUCACCCGAAUACGUGUACAAGCCCCCACCCCCUCCAUCACCUGAAUACGGGGACAAGUCCCCACCACCUCCCUCACCCGAAUACGUGUACAAGCCCCCACCCCCUCCAUCACCUGAAUACGGGGACAAGUCCCCACCACCUCCCUCACCCGAAUACGUGUACAAGCCCCCACCCCCUCCAUCACCUGAAUACGGGGACAAGUCCCCACCACCUCCCUCACCCGAAUACGUGUACAAGCCCCCACCCCCUCCAUCACCUGAAUACGGGGACAAGUCCCCACCACCUCCCUCACCCGAAUACGUGUACAAGCCCCCACCCCCUCCAUCACCUGAAUACGUAUACAAGUCUCCACCACCUCCAUCACCGAAGUACGUGUAUAAAUCCCCACCACCGCCACCAUACUACUACAAUUCUCCUCCACCACCGUCGCCAUCUCCUCCUCCACCAUACUACUACAAGUCUCCACCACCACCGGAAC